UACGAAGGGGGCUAGCGUUGCUCGGAAUCACUGGGCGUAAAGGGUGCGUAGGCGGGUCUUUUAAGUCAGGGGUGAAAUCCUGGAGCUCAACUCCAGAACUGCCUUUGAUACUGAGGAUCUUGAGUUCGGGAGAGGUGAGUGGAACUGCGAGUGUAGAGGUGAAAUUCGUAGAUAUUCGCAAGAACACCAGUGGCGAAGGCGGCUCACUGGCCCGAUACUGACGCUGAGGCACGAAAGCGUGGGGAGCAAAC
rnacentral:rRNA from 1 species